GCGUGACUCUGAAAAACCGAAAAAGUUCGGGCUAUGUUUCGGCUAAUUGUGUUAGAGCGAUGCAUAAUAGAAAACUUAAAAAGAAAAAAACUUUAAUUUUUGUAAAAUGUCAUUUCGGUGGAUGCGCCGGGUUCUUAGGAUCGAAAUAUGAACAGAAGGACUACGACAAAGUAUACCCGAGAAAGACGGAAAGAUGGUGGAGGAAAUAUGAAAUACCACCGUGGAAGCAUUGACUAAAUAUAUAUGUAUUUAAUCAAUGGUGGAAGACAUUAAUGUUGACAUUUCGAAGUUUUGUUUUUACACUGGUUAACAAUUUUCAACUUUUUGUUUGUCCAUAAAAUGGUAUAUGAAAAUUAUGAUAGAAC